CAACAAGCCACACAAAAGCCAAAGUGAGCUACACAUUUUACAUGAACCUCAACCCUUGGAACCUCAACAGUUAACCAAUCCUGUGAACGGGUUAGGCAACUCAGGUGUCUAUUCUUCAACAGCGAAGUUAGAUAAGACGGAAGUUUAUGAAGUAGGGCUUUUUAAAUAUAAAGGGAGUAAUGUAGAGAUCUACAGGUCGUUAGCAACGUUCAGCGAACCUUGUGAUACAGGAUAGAGUGAUGAGUAUCAAAACUGUCACCUGUAACAAAACAAAGCCCACUAUGGGAUAUGGCAUCCGAAGGUUUAAGAGUAGUAGCAGCUGCACUUUAAUAAAUAAUAUCACCAUAAUCAAGAACAUAUAAAAGGUUGACUGGAUAACCUGCUUCCUACUGCUUCGAGAAAGACAACAUCUGUUUAAAGCCAACUUUAAAACUUCUUAACCAGCUCAUCUACCUAUUUUUUUUAUGUCAAAUCCAUACAUAUCCAGGAACACAUUAGAUUGGAGAAUGAGUGAACAUGUAGUUCAUAUGUAGCAUUCUUAUGAGUGUCUAAAAACAACAUUAAGGUGAAAGUCCACAAACACAGGCCAUUGAUUCACUAAAAGGUUGACUGAAUAACCUGCUUCCCUCUGCUUCGAGAAAGACAACAUCUGUUUCUGUAGAAAAAGCCAACUUUAAAACUUCUUAACCAGCUCAUCUACUUAUUUUUUUUAUGUCAAAUCCAUACAUAUCCAGGAACACAUUCGAUUGCAGAAUGAGUGAACAUGUAGUUCAUAUGUAACAUUCUCAUGAGAGUUUAAAAACAACAUGAAGGUGAAAGACCACAAACACAGGAACAUGGAUUCACUCAGAUGUGUUUUUGAACUCUCUCUCAUUGAGAGAUUUUCUGUUCAUGGUUACAAGGUCUGUCAAAUAAUUGAGUCGACAAUGUAUGGUGGAUAACCAGUGGAGAGGGACAUUUAACUUUUGCGCCAUCACCAAUGUCGUACAUUUCAAUAACUUUAUCAGGGCACUCAGACAAAAUGACUUUCACAGAGAGAGAGUAAGAAUAUGCUUUUCUAUUUGCUAUUUACUGUUUACGACAGGUUGACUCACCAGCCACAUUACCAGGCUGUUUGUGAUGAGUUUUUCCAACCAGGUUUUUAUUACAGGGGGCUGAUCUAUGGCUCAUGAGAGAUGACUUUGUGUGUAAGCUCCCUCCCACCAUGCAUUAUGUUAUCUAUAUGGCAAGAUUCCAAUUUAUCCAUUUCUCCCUAUCAUGUGGGGUAGAAUUAAACACGAGUUAGUUAUAUUUUGGCAAUCAUUGAUGCAGUUUAAGAUUAGGGAGCUACAUUUUUUUGUUGACGUGCAUGGCUUUAUUUCUAUUACAGCAUAUUGGAUGACUUAUUCACAUUCUAUUCACCCAGUUCAACGUAACAUACUUAAGACAUGCUGACCUCCACUGUUAUUGGUUAGCAUGUCUUGAGGGUAUGAUCUUUGACCCUGUGUAACUUUCUUACUCAUCAUUAUUCACGAUUAAUUCAGGAUCAUUUUAGUCAUCCUAGGCAGAUGUGUUGAUUUCCACAUUAACAAUGUUCCAAUGAUGUUGCACCAGUUCUGGGAUUUCCCAGGCUGCAACCUGGUCUCAGAGCAUGUUGUAUUAUUCUGUACAUAAAUCCAAGACAGUCCAUUUAGUAUGAUAUGUUACGUUUUGUAUGGCAUGCAUUCAUUUGUGGAUGUCCAUCACCCAUUUCGUAUGAUAUGUUACGAAUUACAAUUUGGAUGAUAUGUUACGAAUUUAUGUAUGAUAUGUUAUGAAUUCCAAUUUGUUGUAUCUCCCAUCUCCACAGAGGAACUCUAGAGCUCUGUCAGAGCAACCAUCGGGUUCUUGGUCACCUCCCUGAUUGCUCAGUUUGGCCGGGUGGCCAGCUCUAGGAAGUGUCUUAGUUGUUCUAAACUUCUUCCAUUUCAGAAUGAUGGAGGUCACCGUGUUCUUGGGGACCUUCAAUGCUGCAAAAAAAUGUUUGGUACCCUUCCCCAGAUCUGUGCUGUGACACAAUCUUGUCUCGGAGAUUUACAGAUAAUUUCUUCGACCUCAUGACUUGGUUGUUGCUCUGACGUGCACUGUCAACUGUGGGACUUUAUACAGACAGGUGUGUGCCUUCCAAAUCAUGUCCAAUCAAUUGAAUUUACCACAGGUGGACUCAAAGUUGUAAAAACAUCUCAAGGAUGAUUCAUGGAAAUAAGAUGCACCUGAGCUCAAUUUUGAGUCUCACAGCAAAGGUUAUGAAUACCUAUGUGAAUAAGGUAUUUCUGUUUUUUAUUGUUAAUAAGUUAGCAAACAUUUCUAAAAACCUGUUUUCACUUUGUUGUUAUGGGGUAUUUUGUGUAGCUUGCUGAGGAUUUAUUUUAUUUAAUCCAUUUUAGAUUAAGAAUGUAAAGCAGGGGUGGGCAACUCCAGGCCUUGAGGGCCUGAUUGGUGUCACACUUCUUCUCCAUCCCUGGCAAACACAGCUGAUUAAUGAAAUUGCAUGCUGAACUGAACAUCAUGAUUAGGUGAUUAUUAGAGUCAGGUGUGUUGGCUGGAGCUGGGGCAAAACUGUGACACCAAUCAGGCCCUCGAGGACUGGAGUUUCCCACCCCUGCCGUAAAGUAACAAAAUUUGGAAAAAGUCAAGGGGUGUGAAUACUUUCCGAAGUCACGGUAUACAGCGCCUUGCAAAAGUAUUCAUACCCCUAGGUUUUCUUCUCAUUUUAUUGUGUUACAAAGUGGGAUUUAAAUGAAUUUAUUGCUAUUUUUUGUCAACAAUCUACACAAAAUACUCUGUAAUAUCACAGUGGAAGAAAAAUUCUUAAACUUUUUCAAGAUUAAUAAAAUGUAAUAACUAAAA